GCAGAUUCAGUAAUCCACUUCUAUGAUACUAGAGUAAAAAAAUUAUAUCAUAAGUUAUAUCCGAUUGAAUUACCACCUUGUGAGAAGUCCAUAGCCUUGCUUUACCAAACUGACAUUUAACAGUUAUAUAAAUAUGACAGGUAGACUCACAGAAACACUCAAAUAUUCAUUGUAGGCCAAUAACAUAAUUCAUUUCAGUCAGUGCUGUGGUGAAGGAUCUAAUGACCAACACUCUUGUGUGUCACUGCUUGUCCCUGGAGAAGGGUCGCUGCUCUGGUCUAUUACUGUCCAAUGUUUUAUGUUUGCAAACUGAGGCUCUGGUUCAAAGACACCCCAAAUAUUGGAUUGAGAGGUUGCUCCGGGUUUUGUUAUUCCUUGAUCGGCCAAGAUGUUGAUGAGAAAAUUGAUGUAUCUCAUAGCCAGCCUUAAAGUUUCAUUCUUGCUUAGCUUCUUGUCGGGUGGAUGGGUCGGAAUUAGCUUUCUCAGUUCAGCAAAUGCGCUAUUAACAUUUUGCUGUCUCCACCGCUCCCUUGUAUUAAAGAUCUUACGUGUCAUUUUCACAAUGGGAUGCCCCAAAUGUUUGUC